GAGUUUGCCAUCUCCCUAUCACUACCACCGCCACCACACAUAGCACCCUUAAGACUCCCUGUGAUCCUGGGAUGCACUCAAUGAAGAGUGUGUGACCCAGGAUUUGAUGGAAAUGCUACAAGAGAAGCAGGCUCUCCUCUUCUGAAAUGGUAAGUGAUAAUGACCAUACAGGUCAACUUUUCCACCAGUUGGAGGGAGCCUGUCAAAGAACAAAGGCAACAGAGAAGAGAGCAGAGCUGAGGUUGGGUGAGAGGGAGAAAUUCCUGAGUGCUUGAAUCCCACAUGCCGGAAGCCGCACCACACUUGGGCUUCUCAAUACAGGAGCCAGCAUUUAUUGGCAGGCUACAUCUAAGACUUUCUCUGUAGAAAAAUGUUCUAGAUGCACAGAUUUGGGGGCUUGAUUGACAACCUGACGCCUCACUCUAAAUCCGCA